AAAAACUGUGGAGUGAAUGCCGGGCGGAUGCAAUGCGGUGGAUGGUACGUGUAGCCACCCCAGACACCCGGUACCACGCUGAUGUCCCGACCACCUCACGUGUUUGACGGAUGGAAUGGAGGGGCCGCCCCCAACCUUCUCUGACAGCAGAUCAUCUCUUCCGUCCUCACCACUGACCGGCCAGUCAUCGGGCUUGUCAGACAGGACAUGGUAAGGGUUGUGUCAGGAUGUCUGGUGCCGAUGUCUGACACUGAGUGAGUGGGAGAGAGAGAGUGAAACAAAGAGAUUGUGUGUUUGUGUUAUUAUUUCACUCCAUCCCUUAUCAGUUUAUUCCAUAUUCAUGGUCUGUUAGUAUAAACAUGGAGAUCCUGACCACGUGUUUGCAUUCCGCGCUAACGAGCAUCACGAGUUUUAUUUUUAUCUUUGAUGAUACCAGGUGUCUUUAUAGCAAUAGUUCAAUAUACAGCCACGAUAUUAAAUAUAAUGUUUUAAUAUUACUUAGGAUAUAUUCGAUUUCUUUCCAGAAACCGCUUGAUUGCAUUUUUCGAAAUAAAACAUUUUAUAGCAACACACAGCAUUUUUAAUGUUUGGUGUUUGUGUGCUUGAACACAACAUAUUGUUGAUAGAACGGUGGAGCUAGGA